GCCCGCUCACUAUUUCCGAUAUGACAGCUGGGCAACUUUCCCGCUAGCAUCCAUACGUGUUGACCGCCCGCUACGCUUUUCAAUUUCAUCAUCCCGGUGAAAUUUGCACGUGAAUUUUAUGGUUAUAACUGCCAAUAAUAAAGUGAACUGAGUGCAAUUUUGUUUUACUUUGUGAUAUUAAUUUUUAUUUUAAAAUUCACAUUGGAUGAAAGUUCUGCGGCAAAAUGCGAACACUGUCGGUGUCAAGGGAAAAUCUAACAAGCGUGCAGUGUCAGGUACAGCGAGCAUGAGACGAGGAGCAGGUAAAUGAAGCAACGAAUAGAAACAAUGUGGACGUCAGGAGUUUGACAAGUCGCAGGGAAGAUACACGAAUGAGACGCGGCAGUGUUUACAGUGUGAGCGAAGGCGUGGAGCGGUGCGGUUGUGCUAGGUAGCGCGGGUGGGGGCGCGGGUGCGAGUGCGGGUGCGGG